UACGUAGGGGGCUAGCGUUGUCCGGAUUUAUUGGGUUUAAAGGGUGCGUAGGCGGUUUUUUAAGUCAGUGGUGAAAUACUUCAGCUUAACUGGAGAGGUGCCAUUGAUACUGGGAAACUUGAGUACUGAUGAGGUAGGCGGAAUGGACGGUGUAGCGGUGAAAUGCUUAGAUAUCGUCCAGAACACCGAUAGCGAAGGCAGCUUACUAAGGAGUAACUGACGCUGAGGCACGAAAGUGUGGGGAUCAAACAGG
rnacentral:rRNA from 1 species